CCUACGGGGGUCAGCAGUGGGGAAUAUUGCACAAUGGGGGAAACCCUGAUGCAGCGACGCCGCGUGAGUGAAGAAGUAUCUCGGUACGUAAAGCUCUAUCAGCAGGAAAGAAAAUGACGGUACCUGACUAAGAAGCCCCGGCUAACUACGUGCCAGCAGCCGCGGUAAUACGUAGGGGGCAAGCGUUAUCCGGAUUUACUGGGUGUAAGGGGAGCGUGGACGGCGCUGCAAGUCCGGAGUGAAAGCCCAUGGCUUACCCAUGGUACUGCUCAGGAAACUGUAGAGCUUGAGUGCUGGAGGGGCAGGCGGAAUUCCUAGUGUAGCGGUGAAAUGCGUAGAUAUUGGGAGGAACACCGGCGGCGAAGGCGGCCUGCUGGACAGUAACUGACGUUGAGGCUCGAAGGCGUGGGGAGCAAACAGGAUUAGAUACCCUGGUAGUG
rnacentral:rRNA from 1 species